UAUCGCAGGGCUGUGAAUGAGCCUCAUCACUGAUCACGUUCCUCCUUCUUAACCCAGAGGUCACAGCUGAGCUCUUCCUGCUGUAGCUCACACUUCAACCCUGCAGAUACGAUGCCUGUCUUCAUGUCAGUGCUGCUGGCUGCCAUGUGCCUUGAAUGCAGGGCACAAAUAGACAAUGUGCUGCAACCAAGAAGACACGUGACUGCUACUGAGGGACAGGCAGUAACACUGGACUGCUUCUAUAACAGCAGUUCAUCCAAUGACUAUCUGUACUGGUACAAACAGGAUGGAAGCAACGGACCAAGAUUCAUCAUGAGCAACUUUAGGAUUGGCGAAGGAAGAACAGAGGACGAAUUUAAGGAAAGAUUUUCAUCCAUACUGAAUUCAACCAUUAGAUCGGUUCCUCUGAAGAUCCAGAAGCUUCAAGUGUCUGACUCUGCUGUGUACUACUGUGCUCUGCAGCCCACAGUGACAGGAAACACCUCAACUCUGUACAGAAACCUCUGGAGCAAAGACAACACAAUGCUCCACAGCAUCCACCAGAGGGAGACACUGUGAUAAACUUUAGGAGUUCAGACGAGAAAUGCUCAAACAACUAAAACGAGACUCAUUCUGUUAAGGUCUGCCUGAAAAUGGCAGGACAUGUUGAAAAUAAAGUUAUGUAUCCAAUUACAGAAACUGGCAAAAAUGUUUAAUAAAAGAUCAAAACAACCAAAAACACUCCCAUACACAAAAGACUAAAACACGGAGAACUUGGAGAAAAAAAUACUAUUGGCAAGAAACCUUGGCUCACAGGACUAGAUGAGAAAAUGGAACUAAAUAGUCGGCAUGGCACGUUUGACAUGGACGACAACAACUGACAGGAAACUCAUCCAACAACAUUUUUUCCUUCUUUGAUUAUUAUUUUUUAAAUCAGAAUGUAAUUCAACUCAACAUUUCAGUCAUAUGUAUUUCUGUUUGUCUCAAAGGACAAACUGAAAUGUUCAGUAUCAUAAUAAUACCACUACCUAGGACUUACUGCCAUUGUUAUGAAGUCAACACCUCCCUCUACAACUGGAUUUUAGACUUCCUCACCAGCAGAACUCAUCAUGAGAGAUCAGGCCACAACCACUCCACCAGCAUUACCUUCAACACUGGUGUACCACAGGGCUGUGUACUCAGCCCAUUCUUCUACUUACUCUUCAUCCACAACUGCAAAGUUGUACAUGGUUUCAACUACACCCUCAAGUUUGCAGACUACACUGCUGUGAUUGGCCUCAUAAGGGACAACAAUGAGAACAAUGAAAUGGACAAACUCAAUCCACCACUACAUUAAAGUUUAAACGGAUACAUUUUAAUUUAUUACAAGUGGUGACAUAAUAUUAUCAGCAAGGAAGAAAAAACAGAGCAGUGGUGAGAGGUCACCUAGUCUCUGC